AAUAAAUACUUUACCUCUCUCCGGCCAGGCUUUCCAUCUGAAAACCAGCAAAGCAAUUACGAAUAGCAGUUUCAUCUCAUGGGAAAAUUACCAUCUUGGGGCUUGACAAAAACAAUCAUCUUUUCUAGAGAGAUUAACUACGAUGGCCGAUGUGUUUCAAAAAAAGACAAAACUCGUAGACAAGAAACCAUUUCGACUGCUUGUGCUCCCCAAGACUCGUAACAGAUGCGGUUUAUUUACACUAAAUAACCCUACCAGCACAAGUGACGAUUUCAUGAAGGCAAAACUGUUGGCAAAUGCCGAUUUUGUUCCGAUGUUAUAGGUACAGUAAAACUGGCACCACACCUGUACAGAAUUAGUGCUAAUUUUGUUGUACCAGUACUUUUGGCACAAAUUCGGUAUAAAAUCUGUACCGGUUGAUCGUUACACACCCAGCACCGUUCAAAUUAUACAAGUUUGGUGGAGGUAAAUAUCGGUACCGAUGUUUAAGCCAUCCAAUCGGUACUGGAUCGGCACCUAAAUUUGGGUAAAGAAAACAACGGUACCGGCCAGUUACCGAUUCGGUAUUGGUGAGACUGCAAUGUCGGGUGUUUUCAUUUCUCAGUCGCGGUGAGUUAGAUUACACGUGGUGAAUAAAAAAUAGCAAAUAUGGAUUUAAAAUUGUUUUCAGUUGUCCAUUUCAUAGAGGAAAAUAGUUAUGAAGUUACCCCUUCCAAUUGGAUAACACCGGAUCAAACGCUUGGUUGUUUUUCCUCUAAUAAACCGAAAGGACAACAAAAACCUCAAUCUACGCUUGGCCAUUGUGGAUGAUCAAAUCUUAUGAUACCUUCGAGCGAGCCAACACGAAAAUCAGAAACGUAGUCAAAGGAUUCGAAACUAUGUAGUGACAUUGAGAAGGUCAGGAAGUCUCGACGCAAAGUUAUGUCUCAAUUACUCAGAGAAGAAAUAAUUGAACCAGAGUCAAAUUUAGGAGAAUCCAUCAAAACCAAUAAUGGUCCGAGGUCCGACGAGGAAGAAGAUUUGAGCAAGUAGAUUAUUAAUUUACAAUAAUAAAUUAUCGAAUAUUAUUAUGUUCUUGAAUAUAAUAAAUGCUGUAAAAUACAAAAAAUUGUACAGUAUAACAUUAUUUUUAUCCGUAUUGUACCGUUACAAUGCCGAUAAAUGGGUGCAUAUUUGGUGCUAGAGUAGAGUGCCGAGUAGGUACCAGCGCACCGGCGUUGGUUACGUGAUGGCAUAUCGGUACCAAAACUCCACCGAAUAUCGGCAUAGGAUCGGUAGUGGUAAAAGGGGCACAUCGGCGUUUUACCUUCGCCUGUGUUGCCAGCACCGGUUCGUUAAGAAAUCGUCACUUUUUUGCUGGUAGGGAAGUACCUAUGCAUUGCCUGCAUAUACACUAUAAACAUAAUGUACUACUCUGGGUUCGAUACUAAUAAGGCUUGAUCAGUGCGUAGUAUAUGUAAAUCAAUUACAGUUGAAACUAUCUGUUAGUAUCUGUCAAAAGUAAUUACUUACUUGUUGGCUUUGGUGGGUAUGAAUGUAUGUAUAUACAACGGCAUGACACACCAUUAGUUAGCUGUACUUGUAUAUGAAUGUAAUGUGUCUUUCAUUAUGGAGUCUAAAGUUGUAUGCACCUAUAAAAUAUUUUGCAAUUGACUCAAGCAGUACCCAACAUGAGGUCUUAAACAUAUUGGAGUACCCUUAUAUUUAAGUAUAUAUGUAUUUAUACAUACUACUCUGAGUUGUCUCAUGUCUUCAAAUCCAUCAUACAUAUUAUAUACACACGAACAUACAGAACAGAUCCUGUGGGUAGUGGGUAUAGUGGAAGUAGAAAUUGUAGAAGAAAUGAAAAUACAUACGAAAAUUUAACCAGCUAUCUAAUAACCCAGAAAACGUUAUGAUAUUUAAUCCGUUUCCUGCAAUGGAUAACAUUGUAAAUAUUUAAUCACAUUUAUUGGUUUCUUCCUUUCUCAGCGCCAAUUCAGAUAGCUUUCAUUAAUUUACUUUCACAAAGGUUUCCAUUCCUUGCCCACGCUCAAUUAUCUUUAAAAGCAUCCAGUUACAAAAGACUAUAGAGAAUCCAGUUCUCUGAUUUAAUAUUUUACUAAACUCGCAUGCCCGACUUAUCUGGCCAACAUGUAAGUAAAAUAUAAUAUAUGUACUCUUCCCACUAGUUCCCACUCACUCACAUCCAAACUAAUCCAAUUAAUUGUUCACAAUAAAACAAAAUUCUACAAAGGGAUAUCGGCGCAGCUUUCUAUUUUAAUCUAAUUUUGAUCGAGAUUUGAAUAUGGCAUGUAUGUACAUACAUAUGCACAUACACACGUUUGUAUGCACAAUUCAAUUUUCGUUUUGUGGAAUACAUGAUAUUACGAAUUUUCUAGUCCGGUGAAUUGAAUGUAUGUACAGGAGGAUAUUGCAUUAAUCUCAUAUAUUUUCAUGGUGAUGGUGGUUCCACUGAUUGACAACCCAAUAUCGAAACCAGUGGUGCUAUGGAACAGAAAGUGUGGGUGUGAGUGGAGAUACAUACGCGUGAAAGUGGAUAUUUUUCAUUAUGACUUUCACCACCACCGCAUCUCGCACCCGCAACAAAGACUUAUUAUUCACACGAGGAGCAUGGAGUUGCGAAGAGCCACAUUUUAUAAUACAAUUUGGUGUCUCGAGUUCUACAGGUUGAUUAGAUUUUGAUUUGAUGUGUGAAAUAUGGACUUUCUCUUUUCAUUAUUGUAAAAGUGCUCUGACUCUCGCCAGUUGCUGACGGGGCUCGACGAGGAUAAUUAAUUUGAUGAUUAAAUUGCAAAAUGCU